AUCCAGCUGACCAGUCCCAAAUAGGAUGAAACGCACGUCCUGGAU
rnacentral:hammerhead_ribozyme from 1 species